UUUGUCGACCUCAAAAAAAAAAAAAAAAAAUCUUUUUAACAAUAUUUGUCUUUUGAAUUUCAAGGGAUUCAUGCCCUUGACAAUUAACAUAAAACAUUUUGGUUGAGCAAACAGACCAUUUUUAUUAUUAAACAGACCAUCUGAUUA
ensembl:lncRNA